GUCUUGCAAGAAUCAUUUGUUAUGUGGCAGGAAAAAAAGGCAUUCAAUUGACAGGGAGGGGGAAAAAAAAGCCUGCAAAGACAACAGACCAGGCAUUUCUUACCUGCACCUCGAGCAACUCUUUGCAGAUUCCAGGAUCUGGCAGAACUUAAGAGGAGGACGAAUGAAAUUAACGUUACCCACUUCAUGGCUGCGAAUUAUGAGGCCAGUUACUCUUGAAAUUUCUAUCCUUUGGUCCCUGGAUCUAGGAUAACCCCAGCUACCUUCUGCACUUUUGGACACAGGAAAUGUUGGCAUGAAGCACAGGACAGACAACAGAAGAUAUCUGGAGAUAAACAUGGACCCUGUAUUUCAGACUUACACAUUAACUCCAGGGGAGCAGCAGGGUUCUUGCUAACACUGCACAAUGCUGUGGGGGGAAAAUUCCAGCCAGCUUUCGUGGCACAAAGAGAGGCUCCUCCUGGUGCUCAAUUUCAGCCUGACAGACUGUACUUUCUCUCCCAGCCCUUAGCUGGCACCUCCUGAAGUCUGCUUUGAUGCAGCCUGAGAGCAUUUCCAGUGCUGUGCUAAGGCAUCGUUUGCCACCACCGCCACAUUUUGGCCCCACCUGGGCAGUGCUCCAGCCUGGUUGUCUCUGGCAGUCCCUUCAUGGCUAUCAACAGCACACCUCAGUGUGUGGUUGUAUCUCCCUGCCUGCUCAGGUUGGAAAGGAGAGCCAGGCUCAGGACAGAGGUAAAGAAGCUGAUGGCUGCAAGGCAGCUCUGUUGUGCUUUUCCAGGGCAUCAGAAGGUCCUUGUCAGGCUGCUGAGCUAGCUCCUUGCAUGCAUUUCACCUGAGAUCUUGGGGAAAGCAUUGCUGAGCCUCUCUAGCUACCAUUCCCCCUCUCACCAGUGCCAGCAGAGUUCCAGAAGCACAGAAGUUCCCAGACCCAGCAUGCUGACCUAGCCCAAAGGCACUGUGCAAAAGCAGAUGUAAUUGCAAGGUAGUCUUCAGCCAUUCCGAGGCUUCCAGGUUAACCCAAAGGCUCCAUGGUUCAGUAAGGGGCUCUUUUCUGGCAGAGGGAUGGGGUCAGUAAGGCCAAGGUCAGCCUGAAGUGUUGAAGCAGCCCUUUCCUGGGAUUUUGUCAGGCUGAAGCAGCACAGGUCUGACAGGGCCACUGUCGCUCCCAGCACUCUCCAGAGAGUGAGGAUUCUGUGGAAAAACACCUGGAAAUACUGCCUGGUUCUGACACAGUGACAAAAGCUGGGGGCUCCUCCUCAAAAGCUGGACUUCCCCUACCAUCCUUCAUGAAAGAGUUAUCCACACAGCCCUGAGAUCCUAAAACAGAGCCUUGCUCCUUUACAUCACUAAAGAGUUAUCCACACAGCCCUGAGAUCCUAAAACAGAGCCUUGAUCCUUUACAUCACUAACCAGAAGUUUGCCUUGCACUUGCUGAGAUGUCAGCAGCAGGCUGGGGACAGUGCACACAGCUCCUACAAAUCUCUGUACCCUUUCUGUGGCUCCUCCCAGAGAGCAGAGAGGUCUUUCUGAAGGAGUAGGGGCACUGCCUGGUCAAUCAUUUGUCCUGGCAGACAACAGGAUGACCACAAGCCAGG